UACGGAGGGAGCUAGCGUUGUUCGGAUUUACUGGGCGUAAAGCGCGCGUAGGCGGCUUUGUAAGUCAGAGGUGAAAUCCCGGAGCUCAACUCCGGAACUGCUUUUGAAACUGCAUCGCUUGAAUCCGGGAGAGGUGAGUGGAAUUCCGAGUGUAGAGGUGAAAUUCGUAGAUAUUCGCAAGAACACCAGUGGCGAAGGCGGCUCACUGGCCCGGUACUGACGCUGAGGCACGAAAGCGUGGGGAGCAAACAGG
rnacentral:rRNA from 1 species